rnacentral:rRNA from 1 species
GAUGAACGCUGACAGAAUGCUUAACACAUGCAAGUCAACUUGGACUUCGGUUUGGGUGGCGGACGGGUGAGUAACGCGUAAAGAACUUGCCUCACAGAUAGGGACAACAUUUGGAAACGAAUGCUAAUACCUGAUAUUAUGAUUUUAGGGCAUCCUAGAAUUAUGAAAGCUAUAUGCACUGUGAGAGAGCUUUGCGUCCCAUUAGCUAGUUGGAGAGGUAACGGCUCACCAAGGCGAUGAUGGGUAGCCGGCCUGAGAGGGUGAUCGGCCACAAGGGGACUGAGACACGGCCCUUACUCCUACGGGAGGCAGCAGUGGGGAAUAUUGGACAAUGGACCAAGAGUCUGAUCCAGCAAUUCUGUGUGCACGAUGAAGUUUUUCGGAAUGUAAAGUGCUUUCAGUUGGGAAGAAAAAAAUGACGGUACCAACAGAAGAAGUGACGGCUAAAUACGUGCCAGCAGCCGCGGUAAUACGUAUGUCACAAGCGUUAUCCGGAUUUAUUGGGCGUAAAGCGCGUCUAGGUGGUUAUAUAAGUCUGAUGUGAAAAUGCAGGGCUCAACUCUGUAUUGCGUUGGAAACUGUGUAACUAGAGUACUGGAGAGGUAAGCGGAACUACAAGUGUAGAGGUGAAAUUCGUAGAUAUUUGUAGGAAUGCCGAUGGGGAAGCCAGCUUACUGGACAGAUACUGACGCUGAAGCGCGAAAGCGUGGGUAGCAAACAGG